ACUAAUUAUUCACAAGACAGGUACAGCCUAGGGAGUGGCACUGCAAGCUUCCCCUACAUUGCCCCACCUUCCUCUACAUUGCCCUGUUUGACAUUUAUUGGCAGUGGUGGU
rnacentral:sRNA from 1 species